rnacentral:rRNA from 1 species
UACGAAGGGGGCUAGCGUUGUUCGGAAUUACUGGGCGUAAAGGGCGCGUAGGCGGUUGCUCAAGUCAGGCGUGAAAGCCCCGGGCUCAACCUGGGAAUUGCGCUUGAGACUGGGCGGCUUGAGUUCGGGAGAGGUGAGUGGAAUUCCCAGUGUAGAGGUGAAAUUCGUAGAUAUUGGGAAGAACACCAGUGGCGAAGGCGGGUCUCUGGACAGUUCCUGACGCUGAGGCACGAGGGCCAGGGGAGCAAACGGG